ACCGGCUUGGCGCCUAGAAGGACCUCCUUGGAAUUCGUCACCUCCAGGAAGUAGAAAGAGAGGAAGAAGGGCAGAGGCAGGUCUUUCCAAAGGGAGUACAUGGCACCGUCGGGAGCGAUUUGGAUAUUCUGCAAUGUGAUGGGAUUGCCGGUUCGUUUGGGGUUAAUUCUGGCAUGGGGUUGAAACUUUGACCGGUGGCUAUUUGAAAAGGAGUGUAACCUGUGCUGGAGUGGACUGCAUUAUUGUAAGCAACUUCUACGAAAGGGAGUAGAUCCGUUCAAUUUGUUUGCUGAAAAUUAAUAAAACAUCUUAAAUAUUGCUCAA